GGAUAGCCAUCUGGCUAUGACAUGUGUCACUCCAUUGAUCAGCUGGGUUACUUCUGCUGUUCUGUCUGGCUAUGCAGAUGUCCCUUUCUCACCACUCCGUGUCUCCCUCCCAAAGCUGCAUGCGUGGCAGAAGAGGACUGUUCUUUGGUAGAGCUGUGUUCCCCUGUGAGGACCUCCAAACAAGCUCUCACACAGGAGACUCUAAAAAAUUCAUACAAAGGAAAGAAAGAAAAGGAGAAGGACUAAGGGGAGUGAGGGAAGACAUUU
rnacentral:sRNA from 1 species